ACUUUUGCAUUAACAGAAUUCUGCUAAAAUUGUGUGAUCCAGAUUUGAUCUGUUUUGCGCAAUAAUGCUAGCAGAGUAUUGGUGUGGAAGGAGAUCUUGUGCACUGAUGAUAUGUGGCCUCCUCUUUCUUAAUGUUCAUUGGCCUCUUUUCUCAAGAUGUAGUGCCACAAUU
ensembl:snoRNA SNORA81 small nucleolar RNA, H/ACA box 81